rnacentral:rRNA from 1 species
GACGAACGCUGGCGGCGUGCUUAACACAUGCAAGUCGAACGGAAAGGCCCUGCUUUUGUGGGGUGCUCGAGUGGCGAACGGGUGAGUAACACGUGAGUAACCUGCCCUUGACUUUGGGAUAACUUCAGGAAACUGGGGCUAAUACCGGAUAGGAGCUCCUGCUGCAUGGUGGGGGUUGGAAAGUUUCGGCGGUUGGGGAUGGACUCGCGGCUUAUCAGCUUGUUGGUGGGGUAGUGGCUUACCAAGGCUUUGACGGGUAGCCGGCCUGAGAGGGUGACCGGCCACAUUGGGACUGAGAUACGGCCCAGACUCCUACGGGAGGCAGCAGUGGGGAAUAUUGCACAAUGGGCGGAAGCCUGAUGCAGCAACGCCGCGUGCGGGAUGACGGCCUUCGGGUUGUAAACCGCUUUCGCCUGUGACGAAGCGUGAGUGACGGUAAUGGGUAAAGAAGCACCGGCUACCUACGU